rnacentral:misc_RNA from 1 species
GAAAUGCGAUAAGUAAUGUGAAUUGCAGAAUUCAGUGAAUCAUCGAAUCUUUGAACGCACAUUGCGCCCCCUGGUAUUCCGGGGGGCAUGCCUGUUCGAGCGUCAUUUCACCACUCAAGCCUCGCUUGGUAUUGGGCGACGCGGUCCGCCGCGCGCCUCAAACCGACCGGCUGGGUCUUCCGUCCCCUCAGCGUUGUGGAAACUAUUCGCUAAAGGGUGCCGCGGGAGGUCACGCCGCAAAACAACCCCAUUUCUAAGGUUGACCUCGGAUCAGGUAGGGAUACCCGCUGAACUUAAGC